rnacentral:lncRNA from 1 species
CUCUCCCCCUGAGUAGCACCAUAGGCUGCUAGAAGAAUACCUACCACCUACAUUAAAUCAUCCAGAUCUGAUCAUCUUCCAAUUUGAAAGAUGAAUAUUGAGAACUGCUCAUAGACUGAGGUGGUUGGGCUUAGUGGGGUUUCUACUAACUAUCUCAGAGGAGGGACCUACCUCAUGCUCAGUGAAGAAAUGAGUCUCAUGGC